rnacentral:rRNA from 1 species
CCUACGGGAGGCAGCAGUGGGGAAUAUUGCACAAUGGGGGAAACCCUGAUGCAGCGACGCCGCGUGAGUGAAGAAGUAUUUCGGUAUGUAAAGCUCUAUCAGCAGGGAAGAAAAUGACGGUACCUGACUAAGAAGCCCCGGCUAACUACGUGCCAGCCGCCGCGGUAAU